CCCCUAGAUGUUCUGGGCCGCACGCGCGCUACACUGAACAGUUCAACAAGUCUUAACCUUGGCCGAUAGGUCUGGGUAAUCUUUGAACGCUGUUCGUGAUUGGGAUAGACCUUUGCAAUUAUGGGUCUUCAACGAGGAAUUCCUAGUAAACGCAAGUCAUCAGCUUGCAUUGAUUACGUCCCUGCCCUUUGUACACACCGCCCGUCGCACCUACCGAUUGAAUGGUCCGGUGAAAUCUCGGGACGGCGGCUUGGUCGCUUGCGUCCGACUGCUGAAACUUGAUUAAACCAUAUCAUUUAGAGGAAGGUGAAAUCGUAACA
rnacentral:rRNA from 1 species